rnacentral:tRNA from 1 species
GGGCGCAUAGCGCAGUGGUAGCGCGUUCCGCUUUGCAAGCGGAAGGCCCCCGGGUUCAAUCCCCGGUGUGUCCA